rnacentral:rRNA from 1 species
UAUGCCUACGGGGCGCAGCAGUGAGGAAUAUUGGUCAAUGGGCGAGAGCCUGAACCAGCCAAGUCGCGUGAAGGAUGACGGCCCUACGGGUUGUAAACUUCUUUUGUCAGGGAGCAAUUGGGUCCACGUGUGGGCUUAGCGAGAGUACCUGAAGAAAAAGCAUCGGCUAACUCCGUGCCAGCAGCCGCGGUAAUACGGAGGAUGCGAGCGUUAUCCGGAUUUAUUGGGUUUAAAGGGUGCGUAGGCGGAAUAUCAAGUCAGCGGUAAAAAUUCGGGGCUCAACCCCGUCCUGCCGGUGAAACUGG